rnacentral:rRNA from 1 species
ACCUGACUGCUAUCGGAUUGAUACUAAGCCAUGCGAGUCAUUGUAGCAAUACAAGGCAGACGGCUCAGUAACGCGUAGUCAAUCUACCCUAUGGACGGGAAUAACCUCGGGAAACUGAGAAUAAUGCCCGAUAGAACAUUAUGCCUGGAAUGGUUUAUGUUUCAAAUGAUUUAUCGCCAUAGGAUGGGACUGCGGCCUAUCAGUUUGUUGGUGAGGUAAUGGCCCACCAAGACUAUUACAGGUACGGGCUCUGAGAGGAGUAGCCCGGAGAUGGGUACUGAGACACGGACCCAGGCCCUAUGGGGCGCAGCAGGCGAGAAGACUUUGCAAUGUGCGAAAGCACGACAAGGUUGAUCCGAGUGGUUUCUGCUAAAGAAACCUUUUGUCAGUCCUAGAAACACUAACGAAUAAGGGGUGGGCAAGUUCUGGUGUCAGCCGCCGCGGUAAAGCCAGCACCUCAAGUGGUCAGGAUGAUUAUUGGGCCUAAAGCAUCCGUAGCUCGUUUUGUAAGUUUUCGGUUAAAUCCAUGCGCUUAACGUAUGGGCUGCCGGGAAUACUGCAUAACUAGGAAGUGGGAGAGGUAGACGGUACUCGGUAGGAAGGGGUAAAAUCCUUUGAUCUAUUGAUGACCACCUGUGGCGAAGGCGGUCUACCAGAACACGUUCGACGGUGAGGGAUGAAAGCUGGGGGAGCAAACCGGAUUAGAUACCCGGGUAGUCCCAGCUGUAAACUAUGCAAACUCAGUGAUGCAUUGGCUUAUGGCCAAUGCAGUGCUGCAGGGAAGCCGUUAAGUUUGCCGCCUGGGAAGUACGUACGCAAGUAUGAAACUUAAAGGAAUUGGCGGGGGAGCACCACAAGGGGUGAAGCCUGCGGUUCAAU